AGGCAGGCGUCCACAAGUACUGGGCCGACAAGCUCCACGGCAGCUACGAUGGUGCUGCCUGCGGGAGACUCGCCAUGUUCCGGCCGCGCAAUCCUGGGUCGCGGAUGGCACCCGGCUUCUCCCAGGGCGGCACUACGUUAACGUCAUCAAGCUCCGUGUGAACGCUCUACCGACCCUGUCCAGGACCAAGAGGGGAAGGCCAGACGACGUGUCCUGCCGAGCCGGCUGCAGGGCACGAGAAUCUUUCGGGCAUGUCCUCCAAGCCUGUCACAGGGGGCACCGGGGCCGCGUCAAGCGGCAUGACAACAUCGCCCGGUACAUCGCCAUGCGCCUGCACCAGCUCGAAUGGAACGUCCUGUGGGAGCCUCAUUAUACGGUCCAAGGGAAAGUGAUGAAGCCGGACUUGGUGGCCACACAGGGAGCUCAGACGAUCAUCAUCGACGUCCAGGUCGUCGGCACCGGAAUGGAGUUGGCCGUCCUGCACAAACAGAAGGCUACAAAAUAUUCAGUUCCUCACCUGCUACGACAAGUGCAGGGACAGCGAAGAGAGCCGCCGCUGGUCACUACGGCAACGAUGAACCUACGAGGCAUCUGGUCCAGGGAGAGUGCGAGGGACCUCCUGUCAUUGGGGCUGACUAAGUCAGACCUCAAGCUUAUUACAGUAAGGUGCCUCCAGGGGGGCCUUCAAUGCUUCUGGGCGCACCGCCGUAUGACGACUGUGGCUAAUAACCGCGGCUGAAGAAGACUGUCACCCAACCCGUCUUGGGAGCGCUGCCGGCAUCCACCUGGCCGGCAGCUGAACACAGGGUACCUCUGCCCUUAUAAUACAGAGUGUCAUUGAAAUAAAAAAAAAUAAAAAUAAAUAAAUAGCCAAAUGCCUCGUCAUCUAAUUAGUGAGGCGCAUGAAUGGAUUAACGAGAUUCCCACUGUCCCUAUCUACUAUCUAGCGAAACCACAGCCAAGGGAACGGGCUUGGAAAAAUCAGCGGG
rnacentral:ncRNA from 1 species